AUACGUAGGUGGCAAGCGUUAUCCGGAAUUAUUGGGCGUAAAGAGUGCGUAGGUGGUUAUGUAAGCGUGAGGUUUAAGGCAGUGGCUUAACCACUGUUCGCCUUGCGAACUGCAUAACUUGAGUGCAGGAGGGGAAAGCGGAAUUCCUAGUGUAGCGGUGAAAUGCGUAGAUAUUAGGAGGAACACCAGCGGCGAAGGCGGCUUUCUGGACUGCAACUGACACUGAGGCACGAAAGCGUGGGGAGCAAACAGGAUUAGAUACCCUGGUAGUCCACGCCGUAAACGAUGAGCACUAGUUGUUGGGUCCGAACGGAUUCAGUGACGCAGUUAACGCAAUAAGUGCUCCGCCUGGGGAGUACGCUCGCAAGAGUAAAACUCAAAUGAAUUGACGGGG
rnacentral:rRNA from 1 species